UGGGAACUGCGUUNUGAACUGGGUGACUAGAGUGUGUCAGAGGGAGGUAGAAUUCCACGUGUAGCAGUGAAAUGCGUAGAGAUGUGGAGGAAUACCGAUGGCGAAGGCAGCCUCCUGGGAUAACACUGACGUUCAUGCCCGAAAGCGUGGGUAGCAAACAGGAUUAGAUACCCUGGUAGUNCACGCCCUAAACGAUGUCGAUUAGCUGUUGGGCAGCAUGACUGCUUAGUAGCGAAGCUAACGCGUGAAAUCGACCGCCUGGGGAGUACGGUCGCAAGAUUAAAACUCAAAGGAAUUGACGGGGACCCGCACAAGCGGUGGAUGAUGUGGAUUAAUUCGAUGCAACGCGAAGAACCUUACCUGGUCUUGACAUGUACGGAACCCUCCAGAGACGGAGGGGUGCCUUCGGGAGCCGUAACACAGGUGCUGCAUGGCUGUCGUCAGCUCGUGUCGUGAGAUGUUGGGUUAAGUCCCGCAACGAGCGCAACCCUUGUCAUUAGUUGCCAUCAUUAAGUUGGGCACUCUAAUGAGACUGCCGGUGACAAGCCGGAGGAAGGUGGGGAUGACGUCAAGUCCUCAUGGCCCUUAUGACGAGGGCUUCACACGUCAUACAAUGGUCGGUACAGAGGGUAGCCAAGCCGCGAGGUGGAGCCAAUCUCACAAAACCGAUCGUAGUCCGGAUUGCACUCUGCAACUCGAGUGCAUGAAGUCGGAAUCGCUAGUAAUCGCAGGUCAGCAUACUGCGGUGAAUACGUUCCCGGGUCUUGUACACACCGCCCGUCACACCAUGGGAGUGGGGGAUACCAGAAGUAG
rnacentral:rRNA from 1 species